AGAAUCAACGCUGGCGGCGUGCCUAACACAUGCAAGUCGCACGAGAAAGGGGAGCAAUCCCUGAGUAAAGUGGCGCACGGGUGAGUAACACGUGAAUGAUCUACCUCCGAGUGGGGAAUAAACUGAGAGAAAUCUUAGCUAAUACCGCAUAAUACCCACGGGUCAAAGCAGCAAUGCGCUUGGAGAGGAGUUCGCGGCCGAUUAGUUAGUUGGCGGGGUAAUGGCCCACCAAGACGAUGAUCUGUA
rnacentral:rRNA from 1 species